rnacentral:rRNA from 1 species
GACGAACGAUGGCGGCGUGCCUAAUACAUGCAAGUGGGACGCAAGGAAACACACUGUGCUUGCACACCGUGUUUUCUUGAGUCGCGAACGGGUGAGUAACGCGUAGGAAACCUGCCUGUUAGCGGGGGAUAACUAUUGGAAACGAUAGCUAAUACCGCAUAAUAUUAAUUAUUGCAUGAUAAUUGAUUGAAAGAUGCAAGCGCAUCACUAGUAGAUGGACCUGCGUUGUAUUAGCUAGUUGGUAAGGUAAGAGCUUACCAAGGCGACGAUACAUAGCCGACCUGAGAGGGUGAUCGGCCACACUGGGACUGGGACACGGCCCAGACUCCUACGGGAGGCAGCAGUAGGGAAUCUUCGGCAAUGGACGAAAGUCUGACCGAGCAACGCCGCGUGAGUGAAGAAGGUUUUCGGAUCGUAAAGCUCUGUUGUAAGUCAAGAACGUGUGUGAGAGUGGAAAGUUCACACAGUGACGGUAGCUUACCAGAAAGGGACGGCUAACUACGUG